GGUUCAGGACGAACGCUCGGCGGCGUGCUUAACACAUGCAAGUCGAGCGAUGAAGCUUCUCGGAAGUGGAUAGCGGCGGACGGGUGAGUAACACGUGGGUAACCUGCCUCAUAGAGGGGAAUAGCCUUCCGAAAGGAAGAUUAAUACCGCAUAAGAUUGUAAUAUCGCAUGAUAUAGCAAUUAAAGGAGUAAUCCGCUAUGAGAUGGACCCGCGUCGCAUUAGCUAGUUGGUGAGGUAACGGCUCACCAAGGCGACGAUGCGUAGCCGACCUGAGAGGGUGAUCGGCCACAUUGGGACUGAGACACGGCCCAGACUCCUACGGGAGGCAGCAGUGGGGAAUAUUGCACAAUGGGGGAAACCCUGAUGCAGCAAACCGCCGCGUGAGUGAUGACGGUCUUCGGAUUGUAAAGCUCUGUCUUCAGGGACGAUAAUGACGGUACCUGAGGAGGAAGCCACGGCUAACUACGUGCCAGCAGCAGC
rnacentral:rRNA from 1 species